GACAGAGGCCUCAAGCGUUAGGCGGAAUCACUGGGCUUAAAGCGUGUGUAGGCGGAUCGUUAAGUACCUUGUGAAAUCCCACGGCUCGCCCGUGGAACUGCUGGGUAUACUGGCGGUCUUGGGCCAACUAGGGGCAGCUGGAACAAGCGGUGGAGCGGUGAAAUGCGUAGAUAUCGCUUGGAACGCCGAAGGUGAAAACAGGCUGCUGGGGUUGUGCCGACGCUGAGACACGAAAGCCAGGGGAGCAAACGGG
rnacentral:rRNA from 1 species